AGCGAACGCUGGCGGCAGGCUUAACACAUGCAAGUCGAGCGGGCACUUCGGUGUCAGCGGCAGACGGGUGAGUAACACGUGGGAACGUACCCUUUGGUUCGGAAUAACGCUGGGAAACUAGCGCUAAUACCGGAUACGCCCUUUUGGGGAAAGGCUUGCUGCCGAAGGAUCGGCCCGCGUCUGAUUAGCUAGUUGGUGGGGUAAUGGCCUACCAAGGCGACGAUCAGUAGCUGGUCUGAGAGGAUGAUCAGCCACACUGGGACUGAGACACGGCCCAGACUCCUACGGGAGGCAGCAGUGGGGAAUAUUGGACAAUGGGCGCAAGCCUGAUCCAGCCGUGCCGCGUGAGUGAUGAAGGCCUUAGGGUUGUAAAGCUCUUUUGUCCGGGACGAUAAUGACGGUACCGGAAGAAUAAGCCCCGGCUAACUUCGU
rnacentral:rRNA from 1 species